rnacentral:rRNA from 1 species
CAGCACCUCAAGUGGUCAGGAUGAUUAUUGGGCCUAAAGCAUCCGUAGCCGGCGCUGUAAGUUUUCGGUUAAAUCUGUACGCUCAACGUACAGGCUGCCGGGAAUACUGCAGCGCUAGGGAGUGGGAGAGGUAGACGGUACUCGGUAGGAAGGGGUAAAAUCCUUUGAUCUAUUGAUGACCACCUGUGGCGAAGGCGGUCUACCAGAACACGUCCGACGGUGAGGGAUGAAAGCUGAGGGAGCACACCGGAUUAGAUACCCGAGUAGUCC